UUUAAAUUUGUUACUUUCCUUCAAAAUGUUCCCUCAAACCCUUCAAAAGGAGACGCAACUCACCACCGCAUGAGACACACCCCUCCAUCGCAAGAGAUGCACCCACCACCGCACGAGAUGCACCCCACCAUGCACGAGAUUCCUGGUCGUGGGAAUCGGUGGAAGGACCGAGGCGAUAGGAAUGUGAAUAUGCUCGCACAAUCCUCCACUGCUCGGACAACAUUCUACUAUUUACAUAAGAUCCUUUAUAACAUAAAAAAAGAGUUCCCCUAAGUCUCUUUGAAAAUCAAUUUGCCACAGUGGUAUCGGGAAUCAUAAUUGUUUGUUUAAUUUUUCUGAUUUUGAAUCUGUGAAUUGUGAACCAUAACAUAUCGUACAUAAAGGGUCUAAGGUUGCCUAAACAUUUAAAGCAAUGCAAGUAAGUUAUUUUUGAAAGAUUGUUAAGGAUGAA